rnacentral:rRNA from 1 species
UACGUAGGGUGCGAGCGUUAAUCGGAUUUACUGGGCGUAAAGGGCGCGUAGGCGGCCGGGCAAGUCUGGUGUGAAAGCCCAGGGCUCAACCCUGGAAGGGCACUGGAAACUGUCUGGCUUGAGUUCCGGAGAGGAGGGGGGAAUUCCCGGUGUAGCGGUGAAAUGCGUAGAUAUCGGGAGGAAUACCGGUGGCGAAGGCGCCCCUCUGGACGGGUACUGACGCUGAGGCGCGAAAGCGUGGGGAGCAAACAGG